AAGUUUACGUGGAAAAACAUGGCGGCUGCAGUGGCUGCACUAGUUGGCAGUUGUCAACGUACAGCCUGACGAUCCCACAUGGUUUUAGGGCGUUUUUACCGGAAUUGUUUAAUGUCACCUGGCCAGAUUUAAUCGUAGACGUCGGUGCUAUUAAUCGACGCUUCGCAUGAAGUCAUUUUAUCCCGUGUUUAGGUUCAGAAAGCGCAGAUAUGGAGGAUGAGGAGCGGCGGAGAAAGCUGGAGGCCGGUAAAGCGAAGCUGGCAGAGUACAGACAGAGGAGGUCUCAGAGUGAUGGACAGAAGAAGAAGAAGAAGAAAACGAAUAAAGGAUCAGAACAGCAAGAAGGAGAACAAGAAGUCAGUGGAGAGAGAAAGGAAUUACCAGCUACAGAGCUUUCGUUUUCCAGAACUCUCCGGAGUGGAGAAACUGUUAAACAUGACCAAACAUACUCAAUAGAGCCUGAGAGUGAAAUCUCCACCACGGCAGAAGAUUAUUCCUCUGAGGUGAAUGGUCAUGAGAUGGGCGAGAAAUCGCUGGACGUUGGGGAGGAGGAGCUCUAUGCUCCUAGCAGACUGCAGGAGAUGGAGGACGAACUCGCCGCCAAAAACAUGGCGGUGGAGGAACUGAGCCGAGAGCUAGAAGAAAUCAGAGCUACGUUUGGAGCUGAAGGAGUACAACAGCUCCAGGACUUUGAGGCAGCACUGAAACAGAGAGACGGCAUCAUCACACAACUAACGGCGAACCUGCAGCAGGCUCGGGCUGAGAAGGACGAGGUGAUGCGCGAGUUCCUUGACCUUACUGAAAAAAGCCAGAAACUACAGAUCCAAUUUCAACAGUUGCAGGCAGGUGAGUCAUUAAGGAGCUCCAGUAUCAGCAGUGCUGCUGCAGAUCUCCUGCAAGCCCGACAACAAGUCCUGCUUUAUCAGCAACAGCUGGAUGAGAGAGACACAAUGGUCAAAAGUCUCCAGAUGCAGCUGGAGAAGAGGGAUGGAAAGCUCAGAGGUCUCCAGGAGCAGUUAGAGGACAGAGAUGGAAAUGUCAGUAGUCUCCAGAUGCAGUUAGUGGAUAGGGAUGGAGAGAUCAAAGGUCUCUGGCAGCAGACAGAGGAGAUGGAUGGAAAGGUCAAAUGUCUUCAUGAGCAGCUACAGGAGAGUGAGGCUAAGGUCAGCAGCCUACAGGAGCGGAUGUUGCAGAUGACACAGAUCCAGCAGAGGAUGUCCGAACUUGAGACGGUCUCAAGGAAUACAGAAGAAUCUUUUACCCAGAGAUUUCAAGAGAAGGACUUGCGGAUUGAAGAACAGGAAAGGCUAAUACUAGAGCAUCAACGAUCAUUAUCCCAACUCCGAGACAAUCUCCAAGAAUCCGAGAAGCGUUUCAUUAACAUUAGCGAACAGCUGGAGGCAAAGGUCUGUGACCUACAGGGUUGUGAAGCAGAGCUUCAGGCUUCCAAGGAGAAGGAGCGACUUUCAUCAGGUGAAAUCUUGCAGCUGAUGGGCACUGUGGAGGCCCUUCAAAAACGCUACCAUCAGGGCAGCCAGUCAGAAUGUGAGGUUCUCCAGAGGGCAGAACAAGAUGCUACACGAAGGCUGGACCACUUGAGGGCAGAACUGGACGAGAUGUAUGGGCAACAGAUUGUUCAGAUGAAACAAGAGCUCCUUUCUCGGCACACGGAAGAGAUGGCAAAUACCCUCAAUCAGCAUUCCACAGAACUGAAAAUGGUCUUGGACCAGCAUCGCAAUGACAUUGAGAGAUUAACAUCUCAGUUGACUCAAAGCACAGGAGAAGUCAAUGUCCUGAAUGUCAGGGUGAUUGAGCUCCAGCAACGGCUACAGGAGAUGCAGGUCCUGCGAGAAAAAGCUGAACAUGAUCUCACACAAACAUCUCAGGAAAAUAUAUUACUGCAAAAACAGGUGCAGCAGCUCAUGGAGAACCUGCGCUUAAAGGAUCAGGAGAAGAGCCAAUCAGAGGUGCAUCUCCAACUUCAUUCUACGAUAACUGACCUUCAGGCUCAACUAGCAUCUGUUCAGGAAACCUCAAGUGAGCUGGAGGCCAAGCAUGAAUCUGAGAUUACUAACUACCGGAUCAAGCUAGAGAUGCUGGAAAGGGAGAAGGAUGCAGUACUUGAUCGUAUGGCUGAGUCACAGGAAGCUGAGCUCGAGCGUCUCCGCACGCAGCUGCUAUUCAGCCAUGAGGAAGAACUUUCUAGGCUUCGUGAGGACCUUCAGCAUGAGAGCCAGAUGAAUGUGGAGAACCUGCGGGAUGAGUUCAACCAGCGACAUGAGGAGACUGUCCAACAACUCCGCAAUGGGUAUGAGGAAAGGAUGAGGGUGGCUGAGGAUGAGAGGUCAGUUUUGGCAGCAGAAAGGACCUCACUAUUGCAGGAGAUUGCCACACUGAAAAAUGACCUGAGCCAAGCACUGGAGAAAUCUCGGGUGGAGGAGCUGGUCUCACAACUGAAGGAGCUGCAGGCAGAAAUUCAGGAGCUCAGACAGAGACAAAGUGAAAAGGUUGAAACUGAUGGAGUACUGUGCAAAAAUGAACUGACAAGGGAGUGUGAGCAGAGUUGGGAGGAAAUUAACACUGAAAAUAAACAUCUUAAAGAAAGAAAUGUCUCCCUGACAGAAGAACUGAAGUCUCUUGAGGAGGAUCACAAGAUGCUGGUGAAGAAAAUGGACACUCUGAUUUCAGAGAACAGGCAAGUGAACGAGAUGGCCGAAGAACUAAAAGCUGAAAUUGAGAGGCAAAAAAGCACAUUCUCAUUUGCAGAAAAGAACUUUGAGGUGAACUACCAGGAGCUGAGAGCAGAGCUGGAAGAAAGACUCCGGGAACAGACGCUGCAGUAUGAGACGAAUCUCCAGGGCCUUGAAAUGCAGCUUCAAAAUCUAAAGUCUGAAACGGAGCAUGGAUCCAUCCAGAGUUUGAAGGAGGAAGAUGAAGAACCAGAUGGAGGGGCAUUAGUGGAAAAACACACAACAGAGCUGAUGGAGAAGCUCCAAAGGGUAGAGCUGGAGAAGGCGGGGCUAGUGAAACAGGUGGAACAGAAGGAGACCGAGAUAAAGAAUAUGAAACUGGAGAGUGCAAAGCUGGUGGACCAGAUUAAAAGCAGGGAAGUGGAGCUUAGGCAAGUAGAGCAGGAGAAGACAGGGUUAUUUGAACAGGUGGAAAAAAAGGAGGAAAAGGUCAAGAUGGUGGAGCAAGAGAAGGCAGGGCUUGUUGAACAGUUGGAGCAGAAGGAGGUGGAGCUAAAGAGGUUGGAACUAGAGAGAGCAGGGUUGGAAGAACAGACUGAAUUGAAAGAUCUGGCGUUAAAGAGAGUGGAGCUUGAGAAAGUAGGGCUGGUGCAGCAAGUUGACCUGAAAGAGGCGGAGCUACAGCAGAAGGAGGCAGAGCUUGAAAGGAUGAAGCUGGAGAAUGCAGAACUGGUGCAGCAGGUGGACCAGAACGAGGUAGUACUGCAGCAAAAGGAGGCACAGCUCCAGGAGAUCAUGUUGGAGAAGGCAGAGCUGGUGCAACAGGUGAACCAGAAAGCAGUAGAGCUACAGCAAAUGGAGGCGGAGCUUGAAAGGAUGAAGAUAGAGAAGGCAGAGCCGGUGGAGCUACAGCAAAAAGAGGUGCCGCUGCAGAGGAUGAAGCUCGGGAAGGUGGAGCUCACAGACCAGGUUCAAGUAAAGAAGGCGGGUCUUAAGGUAGCCAGGAAGGCUAGACAAAAGGCCAGCAGGGUCAAAAGUUUAGAGGCAAAGCCUGACACUAAGAAACAGAGUCAGCUCAAGAUUCAGUUAUCUGAGGUGGAGCUUCAGGAAGAGGAGGCGUGUAAGACUGAGCAGCUUUUGGCUCCGCCCCUUUCCCAAGCUGCUGCGGAGGAGGAGAGCGUGAGAGAGACGGAUGUCAGUGUUGUGCUUCGCAGUGAUGGCGUGAAGCAGAAAACACACGGUCGUACCAAGAUCGUCGCUGCUGCAGCGGCGCACUCUCACACACACACUCACACACACACACACACAUACACACUCACACGCACUCAGCCUGCUACUGCUGCAGCGACGCACACAGACAGAGAGAACAAGCCGGAGAGCGAGUCGGAGAAACAGGUGGAGAGCCAAUAUGGAGAGACAGACUUGGUCCCUGCACUGACACACACAGACAGCAUGGAAGGUUUUGAACAUGAGGAAUGUCGGCUGCAGAUGGAGGCUCAGCGUAUCAGCCUCUCUCAGAUUCAUGCUGCUCAGUUAGAGCUGCUUAAAGAGAGACUGCCUGAGUGGGAGGAGCCUGGGAGACCAGGUGGGGCUAAAGCCGGCAGCCCCUCACUGACCUCCAUCGCCCAGGACUGCACACACCUGCUCCAGUUGAUUUCUGUUUUAUGUGGUGUUGAGGCUGUGGAUGUGACAGAUGAACAACUCCAGAAUCUCAAACCUUCCACCAUCAGAGAGAUCAUAGACACAACCCGAGAUGUAUACCAAAAGCUGCAGCAGUUGGAUAUGGAUGUUUUAUCUUCACACACUUGUCUUACAACACAGAGUGAAGAUAGAAAUGAGAUGGUGUUUGAUGAUCGCUCAGUCAGAACCGAAGAUGAUGUCCACACCUCCACACUCAGUGAACUACAGGAGCAACUUCAGGAGGAAGUGAAGCACAAGAUGGAGAUUAAGGAGGAGGUGAAGUUGAAUAUGAAGUUGGAGCUUUAUGAGGAGGUGAAGCAGAAGAUUGAGCUUCAGGAGGAGCAGCACAUGCAGGAGAUUCAGCGACUGAGGAGUUACUACAGUGAACAGAUCAGAGAAACGGAGGAACGCUACACCAACCAGAUCCUCCUUCUGCAGGACCGACUUCAGGACAUGACUCCAGCAGACACCUUGCACAGCAUGCAAAGCAUUUCUGCACACCUACAAGAGCAACAGCUUCAGAUGCGUCAGUGUGAGAUGGAGGAGGAGAUUGCCAGGGUGAUCGUGCAGAUGUCGGUGGACUUUGCCAAGCAGAGCGAGAUGAGUCGCAUCAGCAUGCAGCACCACAGAGAGCGACAGCAGGACGAACUCAGUGAGGAGACACAGGUACACACUCUGUCCACACAGAUGAGGAUGAAUGAAUUUAAUGGAGACUAUCUGCAGGAGGGGGCGGAGCCUGAACAAGUGAUUCACAAAGAGGAAGAGAAAGGGAGAGGAGGAAUGGAGCGAUUAUAUCCCAGCAUGCAGUGCAGUAACACCCAGACAGAAAUGCUGCAGAGAAGUGGAGAAGGGGAUGAGGACAAGGGUGAAGAGCGAGAGAGGAAGAAGCAGGACGAGCAGUGUGAGGAGGAGGAAGUGACGGUGACAUCAGCACACACGGAGGAAAGAUUGUAUCAGGUGUUAAUGGACAUGUUGAAGAUGGCUACAUUAAUAGAGGAGACCAUCAGAGACCAGCCCAUCACACCCCCAGCAGGCAUGCCUGAGAUGGACACCUCGAGCCCGUUGUCGGGGGCAACAGACACUGACGAGGGGCUGGACAUGUCGCAGGAGGCGGGGCUUGCUGUGGAGGGGGUGGGGUCUGUGUGGAGUGUGAGCUCCAGGCUGCAGAAGGUGGUGGAGAAGCUGGUCAUCACUCUGACUGAGACACAAACACGGUUGGAGCAUGCUCGGUUAACUCAGACGGAGUUGAUGAAGGAGAAGUUCAGUCAUGACCAGCAAAUCACCGACUUACUGAUCAGACAGGAGGAGCUUCAGCAAAGACUAGAGGAGGAGAGAGCAGCUCGAGAGAAGCUCACACAGCAACUCCAUCAUGCUGAAGGUUUGAUUGACGGGUAUUCAGGUGAGAGGCGGGUCCUGGAGGAGCAGGUGCGUGAGGGGAUGACACUGCAGCAGCAGCUGGAGGCGGAGCUUCAGAUGACCAACAGCCAACUUCAGGAACUACAACAGGAGAGACCCGACUUCAGUGAGCAGCAGGACCUGUUACUACGGCAACAAGACUCCAUGAAGGGCGGAGCCACAGAGGCAGAGCUAAGCCUAGUUGAGGCUGCAGUUGAUGAUGCACCUGAGGCAGGACUUCUGGAGGAGACAGAAAAGCUGAUGCAGGAGAAGGUCGAUGUUCAACGUCAGGCCCAGAAGGAUCAUGCAGAGCUUCAGGAGCAGGUGAAGCAGUUGGAGGCAGAGCUUGAUGAGCAGGUGAGAGCCAUGGCCAAGCUGGAGGAGACUCACCUGUCUGAGAGCGCUGACCUCCGGCAGCAGAUCCACGCUCUUGAAAAACAGCUGGAGAACAACCGGCGCUUCCUGGAUGAGCAGGCUGCAGACAGAGAACAUGAACGAGACGUCUUUCAGCAGGAGAUUCAGAAACUGGAGCAGCAGCUGAAGAGCAGCAGUAAGCCUCAGGCUGACCACAGAGAGGUGGAGGAGCUGAGCGUGGCCCUGCAGGAGAAAUCUGAUUGGUGCAGUGAGCUGUUGCUGCGAGUGGAGCAGCUGCAGAGGGAUGUGCAGGAGCGUGAUGAGGAGAUCGAGAGGCAGGAGGAGCGUGUGAGGAUGCUGGAGGAGGUGCUCGUAUCCCACGACAACCGCAACAUCACGCCAACCAGGGAGGACAGUAAGCAGUAUGCCUCCAUGGCAGGCGGGGCUGAUGCCACCCUGGAGGCUUUACUCCAGACUGAGAGAGAGGCUCUGGACAGGAAAGAAAAAGAGAUUGUGAAUCUGGAGGAGCAGUUGGAACAGUUCAGGGAUGAGCUCCAGAACAAAAGUGAGGAGGUUCAGCAGCUGCACAUGCAGCUGGAGAUCCAGAGGAAGGAGAUUAGCACACAACAGCAGGAUCUUCAGGCUCACACCAGCUUAAAGAUGGUCUUGGAGGAGAAGAACAGGCAAAUUGCUCUUCUUAAUGAACAGAUUGCUAAACUUCAGCUUUCGGAAACUACGAAGCCUGACAACAAGGAGGUGGAGGUAAAGAAUGAGCUGGUGCGUGAGCUCGAGUCUCAAGUUGAGUACCUUCGUGGAGAACAGGAUCGGCUCAAACGAGAUAACGAGGAAGAAGUGGAGCAGCUAAACUCUGUAAUCGAGAAACUCCAGCAGGAGCUUUCCAAAAUUGAGCACAAACAAUCUGCUGAGGAUGAUGAGGAAGACCAGCAUGAUGAACUGAAACAGAAGAUGGACCAAAUUCAGCGAGAGCUUGACACACUUAAGGAAGACCACUCCUCACUUCUCAGAAAAUAUGGAUCCCUGCAAGAUGAAAGAGAGACAGAAGAAGAAAAGGAGAAGAAGAAUGAGAUGCUAGUUCUUGAACUUGAAGACGUGUUGAGGGAGAAGACUGCAGCAUUAUUAGUGGCCCAAGUUCAGAUUCAUGCUUUGGAGGAAAGUGCCACAUUCACAGUGACCAAUUUAACAAAGCGAGUGGAGAUGCUAGAGAAUUUCCUAGAAGAGAGAGAGCUGGAACUGAGAGAUUGUAGAUCAGAGGUGGAUAAAGCACAAUCUGAAACAGGAACCCUCCAUCUGAAGGUCUCCCAGCUGGAGGAGAAACUCAAGGAGAAGGUAGCCACUUUGAGCCAGUUGGAGCAUCUAGAAACAAACAUCCAAACCAAAGAGUUUGAAAGUAAGAUAAAAAGUGGGACCUUUUUGGAUGAUAUUGGAAAAAAGUUGGAAUUAAAGGUGGAACAUGGAGAAUAUUUGGGCCAACCUGUUGCUGGGAAAGAGAUAGGAUUAAAGCAACAGUGUGAGAUAGAAGUGGAUCAGAAGAAUGAUGGAAAAGAGUUGGAAUCAAAAGUCAUUGCUGGAGAAAAAAUUGAAUCAAAGGUAGUUGAACCCACUGCAGGAUUAAUGGAAUCUAGUUCAGAGAUGGAGGUCGAACAGUGUUCGGUAAAUACAGUGGAGAAUUUGGUCCUCCUGAUGGAGAAGUUGAGAGAACUGGAAGUAGAGCUGAGUUCCAUGUCGAAGACCCAAGAAUUGCGAAAACAUCUGCUUGCAGGUUCAGAAGAGGAAGUUGAAGAGUACGAGAAAAUGCUGACUAAGCUCAUGGACCUGCUCAACCAAAUAAAAACAACACCUACAUCACCUGCUGCGACCUCAAGUGAAUUCACGAGUGAGAUGGAGAAGCUUAUUCAGGAGCUGCAGGAGGUCAAAGAUCAAUCAGAGGCUGCUAAAGAAGAACUGGACCGCUUUAGAAACCAAAGUCAGAAUCUGCAGGAACAGAUACAGCUUAAGGAGGAACUGAUCGAGAAGCUACAGGAGGAUCUACACAGGCUAAGUGAAGCCUCAGAUUGCAGUAGUGAGAAAAACUCUACAGUGAUAUCAGCACUUCGUCAGGAGCUACAUGAGGUUAAAGGUCAAGCAGAGGCUACUGAAGAGGAACUGAACAGAUGUAAAGAAAUCAGCCAAAGACUUCAGGAACAGAUUCAGGAGCGAGAGAUGACGAUCGCUCUGUUGAAGGAUCAGGUGCACAAGGCAACUGGUGACGUGGAGAGUUCUGAGCUGCUUCAGGAACUUCAGGAGGUCAAGCAUGAAGCAGCAGCAAUUAAAGAAGAGCUGAACAGCUACAUAGAACGGAGCCUCAAACUACAGGAGCAGAUACAGGUUCGAGAUGCAACUAUAGCCCAGCUGAUGGAGGAAAUCCAGCAGCUCCGUACAGCUUUAACCAAGUCAGGAGAAGAGAAAGACCUAGCUUCCUCCAAGAAAAAAACCGGGCGAGAUCAUCACGGAAAGGUCAAAGGUGGCAGCACAGCCAAAGACAAACAGUCUCUCUCCAGGAAGAACUCCACUACUCCACCUUUGACUCCUUCGGCUAAUGGCUCUACGAGUGUGUCCACUGUGGAUGUGGGGACACAGGUGGAGGGGGAGGGGCCUGGGGCGGAGCUGGGGGCGGAGCUGGAGGAAGUGAUCGGCGAGUACACGGAGCGGAUCGGACAGAUCCGGGAUCUGCACGCGGCCGAGAUCAUGGACAUGGAGAACAGGCACAUUGCAGAGAGUGAGAGUCUGAAGAAGGAGAACCAGAGACUGGAACAAGAGUGUGACACGCUCAGAGAUAGCAUUAAUAAACUCCGCCCCAUACAGGUUGUGAGACCAGAUCCCUCUGUGUCCUCCCCAUUCAGAGACGGAUACACAAGCGACAGCAGCUCGGAGGUGGGCACGGAGUUCAGGAACACACCUGAAGGGGCGCGGCCAGACGACACACACCUACCCGACAAGAUUAAGGCGCUCCUCAGGGAGGUCCAUCAGGAGGGAAUGCAGGUUCUCUCUCUGUCUGAGCUGAGUGUGUGUGACGACUCCGCAGACCGCAGCAGCCUCUUAGCACAGAUCACGCACCUCCAGGCUCAGCUCUCACAGCUGCAACAGGACACACACACCAACCAGCAACUGCCUCACACACUGGGCAUGACAGAGAAACAGACAGGAGAGAGAGACAGAGAGACGGAGGAGUGUGAGAGACUGAAGGCUGAGCUAGCACAGGUCAAACUGGAGCUGAAGACGUCACAGAAAACCCAACACACACACCUGAGAGAGCUCGAUACACUCAGGGCCGAGGUGUGUGUGAAGGCAUCUGAACUGGACGCGGCGAGUGACCGGCUGGCAGCGGAGCAGCGGCGGGCGAGAGAGCUGCAGUGGGAGGUGGAGAGAGAGCGGAGCAGGGCUGACCGGAGGGCUGAGGGAGAGAGGGAGGCGCUGGAGGAUGUGAGACUCGCUCUGGAGGAGGAGAGACAGGUUUCAGCACAGAGAGAAGCAGAACUCUCCAAAUACAUGGCCCUGGCUACACAACUGCAGGUCCAGUUAGAAUCUCAGAACCGUCAGAUAAAUGAUCUGAGCUCUGACCUUCAGAAGGAGAAAGAGUUCAAUGCUGAACUGCUUAAACACACACAACACCCCCUACAGGUGGAGGAUGGCAUUCCCUCUGUAGCGGACAAUGUGCUCCAAUCUCUGCAGGCCCAGCUGAAGGAGAAGCAGGCCACCCUGGUGGAGCUGAGGGCACAGGCAGAGCAGAGGGUGCUGCAGGAGUUGGAGCAGAAGCAGAAGUGGCAGGAUGAGAGGACACUCCUCCAGAGACGAAUAGAUGAGCUCCAGAGCCUGUUUCAGGGAGAGAGGGAGCGAGGGAAGGGCAUAGAGAGAGAAAAAGAAAGGCUGGAGUGCAGAGUUGUGGAGCUGAUGGAGAAGAGCAGCACCAACCUGAGUUCACCAAAUGAGCGAAUGGGUGACUGGAUGUUGGAGCAGAAAUCGAACAGAACCAUGCCUCUGGACUCCAUCAGUAUACCCUUCCUGAACACAGCAGGGGCAACAGAUGUCAAGGACAUGGACAGCGCUAUUGCAAAGCUACAGCAAAUGUCCAGCCAAAUCAACAGGCUUACUGUGGAGGGUGCUGACAGAGAGAGUUUCAGCUGGUUACAGAGGAACGUUCAGGAUAUUUUGUCAUUCCUGCAGAAAUUCUCCUCAGCACCCCUUACUGGACCAGAGAGUUCUGCCCUGACGACCGGUGGUUUCUCCAGCGUGUUAACCGAGCGGCUGCUGCGUCAGAAUGCGGAGCUAACCGGCUACAUCAGUCGUCUAACAGAGGAGAAGAACGAGCUGAGGAAUCAAAUUCUGAGACUAGAGGAGGAGCUGAGGAGACUGCACCACCUUAAGGCCCAUAGCUCCCUCAGAUCUGGCUCAGAGGUCCUGGAGGGUGUGUCGGAGGUGCAGAGGGAGGUGUGGAUGAGAGAGAAGAGCAGGAUGGAGAAAUCCCUCCGUCAGGCAGAGGUGGAGAUUUCACGCCUGCGGGCAGAGAUUCGCUCUGACACGGUGCGAGACCUCAGCACGGUCGACGCCGACAAUGCCACACUAAAGUGUAACUCCGCCCACUCCGUGCAGAGGAUUUAUGGAAAAUACCUGCGCUCCGAGAGUUUUCGCAAAGCUCUGAUCUACCAAAAGAAAUACCUGCUGCUGCUGCUGGGGGGCUUUCAGGAGUGUGAGGAGGCUACACUCUCACUGAUCGCCGGCAUGACCGGCCCACAUGUCUACACACACACCACCUUACUGGAGUGUGUAAGUCACCGGCACCGUGGAUACACACGCUUCCGAUCUGCUGCUCGCGUCUGCAUCGCCAUCUUCAGGAUGCGUUUUCUGGUUCGGAGAUGGCAGAAGGUGACGGGGGGAUCAAUCACCAUCAGCAGGAAUGGUGUAGGACAGAGCCCAGUGAUGGAGGUGAGGAACGACUCUCCCUACCUGCAGCCAUAUGGAGAGAGAAGAGGAACAAACAGAGGAAGAACAGGACGAGAGUCACCUCACACUGCACACUCCACACAGCACAGGAAUGGACAGAGGAAGCUCAUGCACUCUCUGCGGUCCAACACCGGGCACCUGCUACAGGAGUCUGUGGAGAUCCGUAUGGAGGGAUGAGUACAGAUGGAGGAGUAUUGUGUUCUCAUCUACAGAAUUACGAUCCAGAUCGCGCACUCUCUGAUUACAUCACCCGACUGGAGGCUCUGCAGCGUAGACUGGGGAGUGUACAGUCAGGAUCGUCCUCGUAUGCUCAGUUGCACUUUGGAAUGAGAAGAUAGAGAUCUUCAGUGAAACUUAACUAAUCAAGACACACACACACACACACACACACAUACACACACACACACACACACAUACACACACACAUACAUACAUACACGCAUACAUGCAUACACGCAUACUCAGUUGCCUUUUAUCACACUGAGCUCUGUGGGUUUGUACAUAUAAUUAAUGUGGAUUUAUGUUUUGAGGGACCAAAUACACACAAACACACACACACACACACACACACAUACAUACACACACACACACACACAUACAUACACACACACAUACACACACACACACACAUACAUACAUACACACACAUACACACACAUACACACACACACACACACACACACAUACACACACACAUACACACAUACACACACAUACACACACAUACACACACAAACACACACACACACACAUACAUACACACACACAUACAUACACACACACACAUACAUACAUACACACAAACACACACAUACAUACAUACACACACACACACACACACACACACAUACACACACACAUACACACACACACACAUACACACAUACACACACACACACACAUACACACACACACACAUACACACACACACACACACAGAGUCGUCUGUACAUUAGGAGUGUUUAUGUUUGUGGUUUACAGUAGAUCUGUUCUAUGUGUACGUGUGGGAAUGCUAAUUUAAGUUAAUUUAUAGUGCAGAUGUGGUGUACAGGGUGUUUGGGUUUCUCGCUGCUGCUGGACUCGUGAUAACACUGACACCUCGUGUGUGUGUGUGUGUGUGUGUGUGUGUGUGUGUGUGUGUGUGUGAGAGAGAGAGAGAGAGAGAACACACACUGUUCACUGCUGAAGGUCAUAAAAAUGAUACGGUGUGUGUGUGUGUGUGUGUCUGAGAGCUGUGGUGCGUUGUCAGUGUUAUCUCACACACACACACACACACACACACACACACACACACACACACACACACACACACACACACACUAACACUGUUUUAUCAGCUGGCUCUCCAGAAGCGAAUAAAGAGGACACUUUGUAGAAGACAUAUUUUUGUAAAGGCAGGAGCUUUGACUUUUAUGGGUAUUUUGUCAACACUGAAAUAAAGAUUAAUAUAAUA